GUUGGUGUAGCUCAGUGGUAGAGUGCCAUGCUUUCUAUGUAUGAUGUUCUGGGUUCAAUACCCAGCUUCUCCC